AGACACAGCUUAUCCUCACACACACAUAAGCGCUUUGCAUAUUAGUUACAGCUCUUUUUAUAAACCGAGUUCUUAAUCUCAACAUAAAGAACCAGCUCCUGGUUUGGUUGAUUCUUUGUAUAGUUCUUUUUGUUUACACCUGGUUGAUUUCAGCCCUGAGUUUGAUUAUUUCCUGCUGUCUAUUCCUCUUGGGUGUAUUUGCUUCCUUUUGCUCUAUAGCUUUUAGGUGUGUUGUCAAGCUGCUAGUGUAUGCUCUCUCCAGUUUCUUUUUUUUUUUUUUUUUUUGGGCGGGGCACUUAGAGCUAUGAGUUUUCCUCUUAGAACUGCUUACAUUUUGUCUAUACAUUUCGGUAUGAUGUGCCUUUAUUAUCAUUAAAUUCUAAAACAUCUUUAAUUUCUUUAUUUCUUCCUUGACCAAGUUAUCAUUAAGAGUUUCCAUGUGUAUCUGAUAGGAUGCAUGGGAUUAUUUCAAUCUUCUUGGAUGUGCUGAGGCCUGUUUUGUGACUAAUUAUAUGGUCAAAUUUUGGAGAAGGUAACAUGAGGUAAGAAGGUAUAUUCUUUUAGGAUGAAAUAUUCUAUAGAUAUCUGUUAAAUCCAUUUGGUUCAUAACUUCUGUUUCACUAUGUCUCUGUUUAGUUUGUGUUUUCAUGAUCUGUCCAUUGAUGAGAGUGGGGUCUCAUUGUAGUCUCCCACUAUUAUUCUGUGAGGUACCAUGUGUGCUUUGAGCUUUAGUAAAGUUUCUUUUAUGAAUGUGGUUGUCCUUUGGAACAUAGAUGCUCAGAACUGAGAGUUCAUCUUAGUAGAUUUUUCCUUCAAAGAGUAUGAAGUGUCCUUCCUUAUCUUAUUUGAUAACUUUUAGUUGAAAGUCAAUUUUAUUCAAUAUUAGAAUGGCUAGUCCAGAUUUUUUCUUGGGACCAUUUGCUUGGAAAAUUAUUUUCCAGCCUCUUACUCUGAGGUAGAGUCUGUCUUUGUCACUGGGGUGCAUUUCCUAUAUACAACAAAAUGCUGGGUCCUGUCUAUGUAUCCAGUCUGUUAGUCUAUGUCUUUUUAUUGGGGAAUUGAGUACAUUGAUGUUAAGAGAUAUUAAGGAAAAGUGAUUGUUGCUUCCUGUUAUGUUUGUUAUUAGAGGUGGAAUUAUAUUUGUAUGGCUAUCUUUUUUUGGGUUUGUCAAAAGAAUAUUACUUUCUUGCUUUUUCUAGGGUGUAGUUUCACACCUUGCCUUGGCUUUUUCCAUCUAUUAUCCUCUGUAGGGCUGGAUUUUUGGAAAGAUACUGGGUAAAUUUGUUUUUGUCAUGGAAUAUCUUGGUUUCUCUAACUAUGUUAAUUGAGAGUUUUGCUGGGUAUAGUAGCUUGGGUGGGCAUCUGCGUUCUCAAAAAGUCCUAAAUACAAAUGUGAAAUACUGAAAUGUUAGAGAAAAUUUUAAAGAAACUUAUAUUUUCUACAUUAAUUAUUCCCCUGAUACUCCUAAUUCUCAUUGUGUUCAAAAUAUUACAUUCAGCCAUUAUAAUUAUUUAAAACCUUUCUAUAAUAGAAUUUUAUCAUUCUUCCCCUCCCUUUCCUGCCUGCAGUUCAUUCCAUGCCUCAUAUACUCUUGGAUAUGGUUACAUAUGUAUAUGUGUAUGUGUUUGUUUGCUUAUAUGUACAAAUAAACAAAUAAAACAUGCUGU
rnacentral:lncRNA from 1 species